rnacentral:rRNA from 1 species
CCUACGGGUGGCAGCAGUGGGGGAUAUUGCACAAUGGGGGGAACCCUGAUGCAGCGACGCAGCGUGGGUGAAGAAGGGCCUCGGCGCGUAAAGCCCUGUCAGCAGGGAAGAAAAUGACGGUACCUGAAGAAGAAGCCCCGGCUAACUACGUGCCAGCAGCCGCGGUAAUACGUAGGGGGCAAGCGUUAUCCGGAUUUACUGGGUGUAAAGGGGGCGCAGACGGCGAUGCAAGCCAGGAGUGAAAGCCCGGGGCCCACCCCCGGGACUGCUCGUGGAACUGCGUGGCUGGAGUGCAGGAGGGGCAGGCGGCAUUCCUGGUGUAGCGGUGACAUGCGUAGAUAUCAGGAGGACCCCCGGUGGCGACGGCGGCCUGCUGGACUGCAACUGCCGUUGAGGCCCGACAGCGUGGGGAGCAAACAGGAUUAGAUCCCCUGGUAGUC